rnacentral:rRNA from 1 species
CCCUAAGGGAGAUCUGGAAAGGCAAAUCCGCCAGAUCGUCUGCCAGGAAAAUCCUCUAAGGAGAGUUAGGUAACUGUACCACAAACGGACACACGUGGACGAGAUGAGUAUUCUCAGGCGCUCGGGUGAUGAGUUGUUCAGGAACUAGGCAAAUUAACCCCGUAACUUCGGGAGAAGGGGUGCCCACGCAAGUGGGCCGCAGUGAAUAGCGUCAGGCGACUGUUUAACAAAAACACAGGUCUCUGCUAAGUCGAAAACGACGUAUAGGGGCUGACGCCUGCCCGGUGCCGGAAGGUCAAAGGGAGCGGUUAGCGCAAGCGAAGCUGUAAACUGAAGCCCCGGUGAACGGCGGCCGUAACUAUAACGGUCCUAAGGUAGCGAAAUUCCUUGUCGGGUAAGUUCCGACCUGCACGAAUGGCGUAACGAUCUGACGACUGUCUUAACAACUCGCCCGGCGAAUUUGUGGCUCCGGUGAAGACGCCGGAUGCCCGCCACAAGACGGAAAGACCCCGUGCACCUUUACUAUACCCUAUCAGUGAAUUAUGGGUUGAACUGCGCAGGAUAGGUGGGAGGCUUUGAGAUCGGUUUUUUGGAAUCGAUGGAGCCAAUGGUGAGAUACCACCCUGUUCAAUCUGUGAUUCUAACCUACUUCCAUGAUCUGGAAGAGGGACACUGGUAGGCGGGUAGUUUGACUGGGGCGGUCGCCUCCUAAAUUGUAACGGAGGCGCUCGAAGCUGCGUUCAGGUGGUUUGGAAAUCCACCGUCGAGUGCAAAGGCAUAAACGCGGUUAACUGCGAGACCUACAAGUCAAGCAGGUGGGAAACCAGGACUUAGUGAUCCGGUGAUUCUGUAUGGAAGGGUCAUCGCUCAACGGAUAAAAGGUACGCCGGGGGUAACAGGCUGAUCGGAGUCAAGAGUUCACAUCGACGCUCCGGUUUGGCACCUCGAUGUCGGUUCAUCGCAUCCCGGGGGUGUAGAAGCUCCCAAGGGUUAGGCUGUUCGCCUAUUAAAGCGGUACGUGAACUGGGUUCAGAACGUCGCGAGACAGUUCGGUCCCUAUCUGUGGUGGGCGCAGGAAAAUUGAGGGGCUUGGCCUUAGUACGAGAGGACCGGGCUGAACGAACCUCUUGUGAUACAGUUGUCACUCCAGUGGCACAGCUGUGUAGCGAAGUUCGGUUAGGAUAAGCGCUGAAUGCAUAUAAGUGCGAAACCUUCCCCAAGAUGAGUUUUCCCAACCGUAAGGUAAUAAGGGCCGUGGAAGACUACCACGUUGAUAGGACGGGUGUGUAAGAGUAGUAAUACUUUGAGCUAACCGUUACUAAUAGCCCGUUCGGCUUGACC